UACAGAGGUCUCAAGCGUUUGUUCGGAUUCAUUGGGCGUAAAGGGUGCGUAGGCGGCGCGGUAAGUCGGGUGUGAAAUUUCGAGGCUUAACUUCGAAACUGCAUUCGAUACUGCCGUGCUUGAGGACUGGAGAGGAGACUGGAAUUUACGGUGUAGCGGUGAAAUGUGUAGAUAUCGUAAGGAAGACCAGUGGCGAAGGCGGGUCUCUGGACAGUUCCUGACGCUGAGGCACGAAGGCCAGGGGGAGCAAAACGGGG
rnacentral:rRNA from 1 species